rnacentral:rRNA from 1 species
UACGGGGGGGGCAAGCGUUGUUCGGAAUUAUUGGGCGUAAAGAGCUCGUAGGCGGUUUGUCGCGUCGAAUGUGAAAACCCGGGGCUCAACCCCGGGCCUGCAUUCGAUACGGGCAGACUAGAGUUCGGUAGGGGAGUCUGGAAUUCCUGGUGUAGCGGUGAAAUGCGCAGAUAUCAGGAGGAACACCGGUGGCGAAGGCGGGACUCUGGGCCGAUACUGACGCUGAGGAGCGAAAGCGUGGGGAGCAAACAGG